rnacentral:tRNA from 1 species
AUUUUUUCGGUGUUAGGCACAAGAAGAUUUGGGCUUCUUAGAGGGCAUUGCCCAAAAAAUA